AGCAGCCGCGGUAAUUCCAGCUCCAAUAGCGUAUAUUAAAGUUGUUGCAGUUAAAAAGCUCGUAGUUGAAUUUCGGGGUUAGUAGGUUGGUCAUGCCUCUGGUAUGUACUGGUCUCACUGAUUCCUCCUUCCUGAUGAACCUUAAUGCCAUUAAUUUGGUGUUUUGGGGAAUUUGGACUGUUACUUUGAAAAAAUUUAGAGUGUUUAAAGCAAGCUACGCUUGAAUACAUUAGCAUGGAAUAAUGAAAUAGGACGUUCGAUCCUAUUUUGUUGGUUUCUAGGAUUGACGUAAUGAUUAAUAGGGAUAGUUGGGGGCAUUAGUAUUCAAUUGUCAGAGGUGAAAUUCUUGGAUUUAUUGAAGACUAACUACUGCGAAAGCAUUUGCCAAGGAUGUUUUCAUUAAUCAAGAACGAAAGUUAGGGGAUCGAAGACGAUCAGAUACCGUCGUAGUCUUAACCAUAAACUAUGCCGACUAGGGAUCGGAUGAUGUUAAUUUUUUU
rnacentral:rRNA from 1 species